GUUGAUUGGUUCUCAGACCAAUCCUUUAUCUAUAGGGCAUUAGGGCUAAUUCUGAGCAUCCUGAAAAGAUGACAUCUGUGGCUUCCUUCCCCCCUGCUUCUCCAUCUUUUUCCCACCUUCCCCUUCACUCUUGCACCCAUUUGAGUCCCAGCAGUGUCUGGGGAGCCAACGGUGAUGCAUUUAACUCCUAACCGCCGCAGAGCUAGGAAAGCCUGUUUCUGGACAACAAGCUGACUAGGAAAUCUUCUGAUUGGGCCAGUUUUAUAGAAGACUGUGUAAUCCCAAACAGCUCAAAUAAGUUCUGCUUCAGAUCGUCUCCUGCAGGACCCUAUGGGGGUCCCCACUGGUGACUGACUUUAUGUGAAUGAGAGAUGAGCUUCCACUGGAUGAAGCUACUGAGAUUUGAGAGGUUACCUGUAACAGAAGUUGCUGUUACCUUAACCUUCACAGCAUCAAACACAUCACUAACUCCUAAAAAAGACUGAAAAGGGUUUUACCAUAACUCACAGAACUAAUGCAAGACAUUUGUGUCCUUACCCUCAUGAAAAUUAAGCACUAGCAACCAGCUCCAUUUUAUACAAAGUAACAUUUAUACCCACAUCUGGACCGAGGCCAAGAAAAAUGAAAAACAAGGAAGUGGAGCAGCAUUUAUCUUCUGACUGC
rnacentral:lncRNA from 1 species